AGAAUCAACGCUGGCGGCGUGCCUAACACAUGCAAGUCGAACGAGAAAGUGGUAGCAAUACCAUGAGUAAAGUGGCGCACGGGUGAGUAACACGUGACUAACCUACCCUGGAGUGGGGGAUAACUGAGGGAAACCUUAGCUAAUACCGCAUAAUACCACGGGUCAAAGGAGCAAUUCGCUCUGGGAGGGGGUCGCGGCCGAUUAGUUAGUUGGCGGGGUAAUGGCCCACCAAGACAGUGAUCGGUAUCCGGCCUGAGAGGGCGCACGGACACACUGGAACUGAAACACGGUCCAGACUCCUACGGGAGGCAGCAGUGGGGAAUUUUGCGCAAUGGGGGAAACCCUGACGCAGCAACGCCGCGUGGAGGAUGAAGUCCUUCGGGACGUAAACUCCUUUCGAUCGGGAAGAUUAUGACGGUACCGAUAUAAGAAGCCCCGGCUAACUUCGUGCCAGCAGCCGCGGUAAUACGAGGGGGGCGAGCGUUGUUCGGAAUUAUUGGGCGUAAAGGGUGCGUAGGCGGUUUGGCAAGUCUUAUGUGAAAUCUAUGGGCUCAACCCAUAGCCUGCAUGAGAAACUGCCGGGCUUGAGUAUGGGAGAGGUGAGUGGAAUUUCCGGUGUAGCGGUGAAAUGCGUAGAUAUCGGAAGGAACACCUGUGGCGAAAGCGGCUCACUGGACCAUAACUGACGCUGAGGCACGAAAGCUAGGGGAGCAAACAGGAUUAGAUACCCUGGUAGUCCUAGCCCUAAACGAUGAUUGCUUGGUGUGACGGGUACCCAAUCCCGCCGUGCCGUAGCUAACGCGUUAAGCAAUCCGCCUGGGGGGUACGGUCGCAAGGCUGAA
rnacentral:rRNA from 1 species